rnacentral:misc_RNA from 1 species
GAUGAAAACGUAGCGAAAUGCGAUAAGUAAUGUGAAUUGCAGAAUUCCGUGAAUCAUCGAAUCUUUGAACGCACAUUGCGCCCCCUGGCAUUCCGGGGGGCAUGCCUGUCCGAGCGUCAUUUCUGCCCUCAAGCACGGCUUGUGUGUUGGGUGUGGUCCCCCCGGGGACCUGCCCGAAAGGCAGCGGCGACGUCCGUCUGGUCCUCGAGCGUAUGGGGCUCUGUCACUCGCUCGGGAAGGACCUGCGGGGGUUGGUCACCACUAUAUUUUACCACGGUUGACCUCGGAUCAGGUAGGAGUUACCCGCUGAACUUAAGCAUAUCAAUAAGCGGAGGA